rnacentral:rRNA from 1 species
UUCUGCAAUGCGCGCAAGCGUGACAGAGCGACUCCAAGUGCUCAUGUAUUACAUGGGCUUUUGCCAAGUGUAAACGGCUUGGCGAAUAAGGGGUGGGCAAGACCGGUGGCAGCAGCCGCGGUAAUACCGGCGCCCCAAGUGGUGUUCAUAUUUACUGGGCCUAAAGCGUUCGUAGCCGGUUUAGUAAGUCUCCGGUGAAAUCCUUGCGUAUAACGUAAGGGCGUGCCAGAGAUACUGCUAAGCUAGGAACCGGGAGACGUGUGAGGUAUUUCUGGGGUAGGAGUAAAAUCCUGUAAUCCUAGGAGGACCACCGGUGGCGAAGGCGUCACACGAGAACGGGUUCGACGGUGAGGGACGAAAGCUAGGGGAUCAAACGGGAUUAGAUACCCCGGUAGUCCUAGCUGUAAACGCUGCUUGCUAGGUGUUGCACGUUCUUCGAGAGCGUGCAGUGCCGGAGCGAAGGCAUUAAGCAAGCCGCCUGGGAAGUACGGUCGCAAGGCUGAAACUUAAAGGAAUUGGCGGGGGAGCACAAGCCGAAUUCCCGCACACUAAGG